CGCGAUACAGGGUGACAGCCCCGUACACAAAAGCGCAUGUGCUGUGAGCUCGAUGAGUAGGGCGGGACACGUGGUAUCCUGUCUGAAUAUGGGGGGACCAUCCUCCAAGGCUAAAUACUCCUGACUGACCGAUAGUGAACCAGUACCGUGAGGGAAAGGCGAAAAGAACCCCGGCGAGGGGAGUGAAAAAGAACCUGAAACCGUGUACGUACAAGCAGUGGGAGCACCCUUCGGGGUGUGACUGCGUACCUUUUGUAUAAUGGGUCAGCGACUUAUAUUCUGUAGCAAGGUUAACCGUAUAGGGGAGCCGGAGGGAAACCGAGUCUUAACCGGGCGUUAAGUUGCAGGGUAUAGACCCGAAACCCGGUGAUCUAGCCAUGGGCAGGUUGAAGGUUGGGUAACACUAACUGGAGGACCGAACCGACUAAUGUUGAAAAAUUAGCGGAUGACCUGUGGCUGGGGGUGAAAGGCCAAUCAAACCGGGAGAUAGCUGGUUCUCCCCGAAAGCUAUUUAGGUAGCGCCUCGUGAAUUCAUCUCCGGGGGUAGAGCACUGUUUCGGCUAGGGGGCCAUCCCGGCUUACCAACCCGAUGCAAACUGCGAAUACCGGAGAAUGUUAUCACGGGAGACACACGGCGGGUGCUAACGUCCGUCGUGAAGAGGGAAACAACCCAGACCGCCAGCUAAGGUCCCAAAGUCAUGGUUAAGUGGGAAACGAUGUGGGAAGGCCCAGACAGCCAGGAUGUUGGCUUAGAAGCAGCCAUCAUUUAAAGAAAGCGUAAUAGCUCACUGGUCGAGUCGGCCUGCGCGGAAGAUGUAACGGGGCUAAACCAUGCACCGAAGCUGCGGCAGCGAACGUAUCACCCAAGACAACUUUACGGAGUUGACGAUUGACGGAGCGAAGCGACGUCAAAGCGUUCAUUAAAGUCGAGUUGGCUUAGGGAUACGUUCGUUGGGUAGGGGAGCGUUCUGUAAGCCUGUGAAGGUGUGUCGUGAGGCAUGCUGGAGGUAUCAGAAGUGCGAAUGCUGACAUAAGUAACGAUAAAGCGGGUGAAAAGCCCGCUCGCCGGAAGACCAAGGGUUCCUGUCCAACGUUAAUCGGGGCAGGGUGAGUCGACCCCUAAGGCGAGGCCGAAAGGCGUAGUCGAUGGGAAACGGGUUAAUAUUCCCGUACUUGGUGUUACUGCGAAGGGGGGACGGAGAAGGCUAUGUUGGCCGGGCGACGGUUGUCCCGGUUUAAGCGUGUAGGUGUGUGUUCCAGGUAAAUCCGGUUCACUUUAACACUGAGGCGUGACGACGAGGCACUACGGUGCUGAAGCAACAAAUGCCCUGCUUCCAGGAAAAGCCUCUAAGCAUCAGGUAACACGAAAUCGUACCCCAAACCGACACAGGUGGUCAGGUAGAGAAUACCAAGGCGCUUGAGAGAACUCGGGUGAAGGAACUAGGCAAAAUGGUGCCGUAACUUCGGGAGAAGGCACGCUGACACGUAGGUGAAGUGAUUUACUCAUGGAGCUGAAGUCAGUCGAAGAUACCAGCUGGCUGCAACUGUUUAUUAAAAACACAGCACUGUGCAAACACGAAAGUGGACGUAUACGGUGUGACGCCUGCCCGGUGCCGGAAGGUUAAUUGAUGGGGUCAGCGUAAGCGAAGCUCCUGAUCGAAGCCCCGGUAAACGGCGGCCGUAACUAUAACGGUCCUAAGGUAGCGAAAUUCCUUGUCGGGUAAGUUCCGACCUGCACGAAUGGCGUAAUGAUGGCCAGGCUGUCUCCACCCGAGACUCAGUGAAAUUGAACUCGCUGUGAAGAUGCAGUGUACCCGCGGCAAGACGGAAAGACCCCGUGAACCUUUACUAUAGCUUGACACUGAACAUUGAGCCUUGAUGUGUAGGAUAGGUGGGAGGCUUUGAAGUGUGGACGCCAGUCUGCAUGGAGCCGACCUUGAAAUACCACCCUUUAAUGUUUGAUGUUCUAACGUGGACCCGUAAUCCGGGUUGCGGACAGUGUCUGGUGGGUAGUUUGACUGGGGCGGUCUCCUCCUAAAGAGUAACGGAGGAGCACGAAGGUUGGCUAAUCCUGGUCGGACAUCAGGAGGUUAGUGCAAUGGCAUAAGCCAGCUUGACUGCGAGCGUGACGGCGCGAGCAGGUGCGAAAGCAGGUCAUAGUGAUCCGGUGGUUCUGAAUGGAAGGGCCAUCGCUCAACGGAUAAAAGGUUCUCCGGGGAUAACAGGCUGAUACCGCCCAAGAGUUCAUAUCGACGGCGGUGUUUGGCACCUCGAUGUCGGCUCAUCACAUCCUGGGGCUGAAGUAGGUCCCAAGGGUAUGGCUGUUCGCCAUUUAAAGUGGUACGCGAGCUGGGUUUAGAACGUCGUGAGACAGUUCGGUCCCUAUCUGCCGUGGGCGCUGGAGAACUGAGGGGGGCUGCUCCUAGUACGAGAGGACCGGAGUGGACGCAUCACUGGUGUUCGGGUUGUCAUGCCAAUGGCACUGCCCGGUAGCUAAAUGCGGAAGAGAUAAGUGCUGAAAGCAUCUAAGCACGAAACUUGCCCCGAGAUGAGUUCUCCCUGAGACUUAGAGUCUCCUGAAGGAACGUUGAAGACGACGACGUUGAUAGGCCGGGUGUGUAAGCGCAGCGAUGCGUUGAGCUAACCGGUACUAAUGAACCGUGAGGCUUAACCUU
rnacentral:rRNA from 1 species